rnacentral:rRNA from 1 species
GCAUAUCAAUAAGCGGAGGAAAAAGAAACCAACAGGGAUUGCCCUAGUAACGGCGAGUGAAGCGGCAACAGCUCAAAUUUGAAAUCUGGCGUCUUCGGCGUCCGAGUUGUAAUUUGCAGAGGGCGCUUUGGCAUUGGCAGCGGUCCAAGUUCCUUGGAACAGGACGUCACAGAGGGUGAGAAUCCCGUACGUGGUCGCUAGCCUUUACCGUGUAAAGCCCCUUCGACGAGUCGAGUUGUUUGGGAAUGCAGCUCUAAAUGGGAGGUAAAUUUCUUCUAAAGCUAAAUACUGGCCAGAGACCGAUAGCGCACAAGUAGAGUGAUCGAAAGAUGAAAAGCACUUUGGAAAGAGAGUUAAAAAGCACGUGAAAUUGUUGAAAGGGAAGCGCUUGCAGCCAGACUUGCCUGUAGUUGCUCAUCCGGGUUUCUACCCGGUGCACUCUUCUAUAGGCAGGCCAGCAUCAGUUUGGGCGGUUGGAUAAAGGUCUCUGUCAUGUACCUCCUCUCGGGGAGAACUUAUAGGGGAGACGACAUGCAACCAGCCCGGACUGAGGUCCGCGCAUCUGCUAGGAUGCUGGCGUAAUGGCUGUAAGCGGCCCGUCUUGAAACACGGACCAAGGAGUCUAACAUCUAUGCGAGUGUUUGGGUGUCAAGCCCGAGCGCGUAAUGAAAGUGAACGGAGGUGGGAACCUUUCGGGGUGCACCAUCGACCGAUCCUGAUGUCUUCGGAUGGAUUUGAGUAAGAGCAUAGCUGUUGGGACCCGAAAGAUGGUGAACUAUGCUUGAAUAGGGUGAAGCCAGAGGAAACUCUGGUGGAGGCUCGCAGCGGUUCUGACGUGCAAAUCGAUCGUCAAAUUUGGGCAUAGGGGCGAAAGACUAAUCGAACUAUCUAGUAGCUGGUUCCUGCCGA